GAUCAUGGCUCAGGAUGAACGCUGGCGGCGUGCUUAACACAUGCAAGUCGAACGAUUAAACUGGCUUCGGCCAGAUAUAGAGUGGCGAACGGGUGAGUAACACGUGACCAACCUGACCCCGCGCUCCGGGACAACCGCUGGAAACGGCGGCUAAUACCGGAUGCUCCGGGGAGGCCCCAUGGCCUCCCCGGGAAAGCCUUAACGGCGCGGGAUGGGGUCGCGGCCCAUUAGGUAGACGGCGGGGUAACGGCCCACCGUGCCGCGAUGGG
rnacentral:rRNA from 1 species